rnacentral:rRNA from 1 species
AUCCUGGCUCAGAGCGAACGUUAGCGGCGGGCCUAACACAUGCAAGUCGAACGCGAAAGGUCUUCGGACUGAGUAGAGUGGCGCACGGGUGAGUAACACGUAGGUAAUCUACCCUUUGGCGGGGGAUAACGUUCCGAAAGGAGCGCUAAUACCGCAUAAGACCACGGAGUCUCCGGACGCUGUGGGAAAAGGUGGCCUCUUCUUGAAAGCUAUCACCGAAGGAUGAGCCUGCGUCCCAUCAGCUAGUUGGUAAGGUAAUGGCUUACCAAGGCGAAGACGGGUAGCUGGUUUGAGAGAAUGAUCAGCCACACUGGCACUGGAACACGGGCCAGACUCCUACGGGAGGCAGCAGUGAGGAAUAUUGGGCAAUGGGCGAAAGCCUGACCCAGCCACGCCGCGUGAGUGAUGAAGGCCCUCGGGUCGUAAAGUUCUGUGGAGAGGGACGAAAACCCUGGUUUCAAAUAGGCUCCAGGCUUGACGGUACCUCUUUAGCAAGCACCGGCUAACUCUGUG